ensembl:lncRNA
GGAAAACACCUCAGAAAUACCCAGAUACUUCUUGUUAAAGGAUUCAUUAAAAAUACUAGACGUGAGAAGGACAUUUAAGUUUUUUUCUAAUACCAUAGAACACAGAUCUCUCAUUUUUCCCAGCAAUGGGACAUUUAGGAUCAGUGAUAUGAGCAGGAAUGACAGUGGUAAUUACAGCCUUCAAACCUUUGAUUCAAAAGGAACGGCAUCAAACGAGCGGACCUUACGGCUGUUAAUUCAUGCUCCUGUGUCCUCCGUCCUGCUGGUCUCUGAGUGUCUGUCCCAGGGAGAGAUGAGGGUGUCCUGCUCCUCUGAGGGAGGGGACAGUCCUCAGUACAGCUGGACUCUGGAUGGACGCACACUGACAGAUGCUGAGCUCCUUUCUGGAAAUAAUGAGAGUAACAUCAUCACACUGAAACAGCACGUCUCAGGACGUCUGGUCUGCUCAGUCAGGAACAACGUCAGUAAUGCCUUCAAAGAAGAGAAAAUAUCUACCUGUGAUAACUUCUUGCUUAUAUGUGGUUUGCGAGCAGUCGCGGUAAUUCUCUUAUUAACUGGGAUUUCCAUUUACUUUGCUUGGAAGAAAAAGAGAACUGAAAAAGAUGAAGCCUCUGCUCUCUCGCAAACGACGGAAUAUCCAGAAAACUCUGUUUUGAUGGUUGAAAGGAGAAACUCUACUUCUUGCACCAAC